AGUAUGACCUGGUAGGGGAGAGAUCAUAAUCACAUGAAGGUGUUUUUCCAGGGUGAGGCUUAUCCAUUGCCCUCCAGAUGUGGUGACCCCUGAGAUUUCCCAAAAUGUGGGAAACUCAACUGCGUAAGUUAUGGUAGUAGGGGCCUGAGUUUGAAAGAUUCCUUG